AAGAAAUUAGUUAAAUAAUAACAUUAGAAUGUCAAACUAAAAUUAUUAAAAAAUAUUAAUAUUUCUUA
rnacentral:tRNA from 1 species